AAUGGUCGACUGGUGACGUGCA
rnacentral:miRNA from 15 species